GGAUGUGAGGGCAGUCGGGCUAUGAUAAAUGUCACCCCACUUGUAGCAGGGUUGAUUGGUCUAAUCUGUCCGGCAGCCUGGGUGCCCCCUCCUCCCUCACUGCUCCAUGUUGAAGAGGAUGAUCGUCCCAGAGUAGAGGAGGCCUUGUCCUCAGUCAAGGGCAUAGACGUGCUGUGCUCCCGGCUAGAGCCUCCUGACAAGCUCUCAAGAAGUGAAGUAUAUUGAGGUAAAAUGGUCUAGACUGCCUUGGGAAACCAAGACUUUAGCUGCUAGUUGGUCCUUUAGGUUCAGCUAGAAGCCGCAGAGGCAGUAUGGACCAGACU
rnacentral:snRNA from 1 species